rnacentral:lncRNA from 1 species
CGAAAAGCUUACAUUUACUGUUUCCUUAUUCAAAUAGCUCUGCAUUUCUUCUGCAAUUGGAAAGCCUUAAGCAUCACAAAGUUUAAAAAUACCCUAAGAUUGAAAAGCUUCAAGGGAAUGCGUCUAUGGGUUUUCAUAGUGAACCAAGGCUGAGGCUGGGCGGUGGGCCCUUGCUCCUGCCCUGGUCCCCGGGAUGCUGAGCCACCUCCAGCUCCAGGGAGGGUGUGGCCAGGCAGGCCAGUCAGAGGGCAGCAUGCCCUGGCUCUGCACAUUGCUAGGUGCCCCGGGCCUGCAGCCUGUUGGGCCCCUGGACACAGUGUGUGCCUGGAGCUGCUGGGAACCCAGGAGGUGAGAGUCCAUCAGGGCCGAGUGAUGCAGGAAAGCUCAGCCACGAGGGGCUGCCUGAGAUCCACUGCGGAGCCUCCUGCCACAAGGCCCUCAUUCCCUGCUGACCUGAGCUGACCCCAGACAGGGCUGUUGCUGCAAGCCCAGGAGGCAGGGGGGUGCGGCAGCUGCCCCCACCACGAAGGCUGGACAGUAGUGCAUCAGGGGUGUGUGUGCGGGCGGUUCAACCCGGCCUCUAGUGGAGCUGACUGUAUACACCUGCACUCAAUGAGCCGAAUGAGAAGUGCAGGUAGGACACGUGUUCCACGCUCUGUCCCCCGGGCUCUUCAGUUGCUGCCUCCACUGUAGCCACGGGAAAGAAACCGUCACGCGCCGUGCAAUGCCAUGAACGUGGCCGGAGUCUCAUGGUACUUUUGGGAUGGUCAGGAUGAGGGGAAGGCCACAGCAGUGGCCUGUGUAGCUGUCCAGGGGACCCCGUGGGAGAACUUCCCCGAGCUGUCCAUCAAGCCCCCCAGCUGGCCCAGACUCGGGGGGAGCCCAGGGAAAGCUCUGGCAAAGGCUGCCAGCCCUGGCCGUCUUUUAAAGGUUGAGGGCUGGUUGGUUCCUAUUAUAGAGGUUGACCCAAUGCCAAGGCUUGCUCAGCUGAAAUGGGGCUCAGCAGAACCACGCCCCACCCACCUGCGGGGAGGGCACACGUCCAAACGCAUCGCAAUCCCAUGGCGGUGAGUGGCUGCAGAGGAACCCCUUCCCGGGAGCCACCCAGCCCUUCCUUGUCAAUGGCUCCGAGCUUUUCUUCUAACUCAAAAAGACAACAGUGGCCCCCUCUCCCCUGCUCUAAUGCCAGCAUGUUGGGAGGUGGGUGGCCUCCGACCUUGAGAACCCAGGAGCUGAG